UAUCUUUUAUUUGAUUAAUAAAAAACUAUCAAUCUCAGAUCUGAAGUAAUUAUUGACAGUUUGUAGAAGAGAGUUUUAAACCUUUACCAGCGAUUACAAAUAGAAUUGUUCUUCAGUUUUUCUGCUCCAAGAGGACCACAACCUAGUCAUAGGAGUUGGAGGCUUGCGUGCUUCAAUGUCCCAGAGAUCUACGUUGGCUGGAGUAAGGACUUUAUGCUUUGGCUCUUGGUAGGGCCAUGCCAAAGAGGUCAAAGGCCUAACAACCCUGACUGGUCAAAUAAAAUUGUUACGGAAGCAGCAAUGAAGAAUCCUUCUGCAUCUGAGUGUAACAGUAUUCCUCAGUUUCCACCCGCGACUUGCAUGCCUGACAGUAGGGAAAACUGAGAGGAAGCCUUGAACACUACCAGGGAUGGAAGACCUUCAUUGCUGCCCUGAACUCCAGGGGUGUAGUGGGCAGUCAACGGAGCAACAUAUUUCUCAAUGGAUAUCGAAAUUGAAGAGAUCAAAAGCAUCCUGUUGAUUAUUUCAACAAAGCUUGAUAUAAACUGUAAUUAGUAUUUUUGAUCAUAAAUGAAAAUAAAGAUGUGUUCAUUUUAA